rnacentral:autocatalytically_spliced_intron from 1 species
GAACGCCUAAUGCGGUGAAAAUCGCACGUUGGGUGUGGAGCAGGGGGUGCGACAAGAAGCAACUUCUUCCGCAC